rnacentral:misc_RNA from 1 species
CAGGAAACUGCUUGCUAGGUCAUAUUGAAUCCACAACUAAAGGGGGUACACUACUCAUGGACUGUUGCAUAUCUAAUCGUUCCAGAGGAUUGCACAAGUAAUAAAUACAAAGGUUAAAUUAGAUUUCUUCAAUUUGUUGCAGGUAUGAACUAGAUACAACAAUAUCAACAGUGCAGCCAACAGUUCUGUUUUUGACCUGCUAUAAACUGAUACAGAAGGGGGAAAAAUAAUAAAAAAAGAUCAAGCCUGGCAGAUUCGCAACCGUUAAUCUGGACUUCUUAAUUCCCAACUUCCUGUACAACGGUUUUUAACUCCCACCAACAUCCUUCCACCCAAAAAAUAGUGAAAGGAAAUGAAAAGGCAACAGAGUCCAGAAAUGAUAAUAGCUCUUGAAACUCUCUGUCUCAAGUGGAAUAAGAUAUACAGUUCUUUACACCAGCAUGCUGUGUUCUCAAUUGCAAGGAGCUGAUGAAUUGGCCAUCUCCUAUUUAAGCAGUCUUCAUUCCCAAAUGAACUUGUGCGUCGACCAGAAUCAUUACAGCUGACAGGAAAAGAUGCUGAAUUAAUGACUUGAGGUGAAAUCGUAUAGUUGUCAGGUUAAAAGCUGUAACUACUGGGGAAUAAUUUGAGUGCCGCCAAGUGCCAAAUAUUCAUAUCCUCUCCUUACAUGUCCAAUAAGCUAUUUACAGUAUGAACUCUGCAACCAAGCAUUCAGAUUCUGCUUCCAAAAAUAUCUUCCGCCAUUCAAGCUUCCAUAGGCAUAGGAUCCAACUUAUUCACUAGGUCUACCUUUACUUUUAAGGCACAUAUUGGAAAUAUUUUGGCUCAUGAUUAUAAUAAAAAUAUGAAUGAAGCACUCAAUGGCAUAUACAAUGCCUGGAAACUGUUCUUAGACCAAGGCUUCCAGUGCAUGCUAGAUUCCAUUGGUGCGACCAAGCAUUGGCGAGCUUGGAUUCAGGUCCAAGGAUGGCUUCAACUUCACAUGAUCCCUUAAGAGCUGUUGAGACACACGAUCAACUAGUACAGGCUGCCCAUUAUAAAGUUCCCUGGGGUCCCCAUGGCCAGGUCGUCCAAACUGGUUUUCAGAGGCACCAUUAUCUGAUGAAAUCCUCUCUCGAAAAACAUGAGAGGCUUGUGACAUCCCUCGAAAUAGAUCAGGCUUGGGCUCAUGAUAUGGAUCAUUGCCAUUGGUAUACAAAAUGUUUUGGGACCUUGAGAUCAUUCCCAUGCUUUCUUGCAAGUAAGUUGCUGACUGCAUUAGGUGAUGAAAUGGUGUUGCACCACUACCACCAGUAAGAGGUGUGGAUGAACCCGAUGCAGUAUGAGGGCUAGAUAUAGGAGAUGGAGAUAGCCUUCCGCUCACAUGUUGUGGGGACCUUGAAUUCAGAAGAGGGCUCUCAAUAGGUGAAACCGGACAUGACGCAUUCUUCGGUGCAUGGACAUCACUCAAUCCUGCACCAGUUUUUGAGCCUCUAGAUUGAUGGAUAGCAACCCCUUCUGAUUCAAAGCCUGCGAUGUUUCUUGCAUGCCCAAUGCCCAUUGAUCUUCCUACAUUCAUAACUGCAGAUGUUGCUUCUGUGGCCUCAGCAGUUAAAAUUGGUUUCUCCAGUGCAGCAGCAUUUUUCACAAAAGGGUGCUCCAAAAGUUCAGCAGCUGUAGGGCGAUGUGAUGGGUUCCGUUGCAAGCAUUGCCUCACGAAGUCCUUUCCAUCAUCUGACAAAUUAUCAGGAAAUGCAGGAAGCUCCUUGCCGUUUCCAAUCUUAAACAUAGCAGCAAACUUUCAAGAAGCCAAUGAAGCAAAAUAUGGGAUAAGAAACAGGUUGAACAAUCCACAUUUCAGGAUUUAAAUGCUUUCACCAGGAGACAUUCAUAAGUAACUCCAUUCAUAUUGUAAACUAUCUCUCUAUCUGAUAAAACUUAUUUGAAUUUUUAACUUAAAUUUAACUAACCCCUUCAUACUGGCUCCAUGGUGGUUUUGUUGUUGCCAUCUUCAACACCGUACACCCAAGGCUUCAUAAAUCAACAGCAAGAGUACAACCAUUUGAAUUCCUUAUCACCUGAAAAUAAUUAAUGCAUUGAAAAGCAACUAUGUGAAAUCAUCACAAAGAAAAGAGGAAUUGGAGCAUGCAGGAACAGAAUAACAACCUCAGUUGCCAUCCAUUAAUGGCUUCCCUUGAAUGAUAGUGGACAAGACAGCCCAGUAAUCUGAGAUUAGUUUAGCGAAAAUGGGUUAGAACACAUAGCCUUGACCAAAGCAUCUUCUCAUUCUUGUUUCCUAUCUAAACUAAACAACUAGCAUCUACAGGCAUUUCAUUUCCUUACUGCAUACACAUAAAUUUCAUAUUUUUACAAAAAUUUUAGAUGCGUAUUCUUUCACGGUUUGCCAUUCCUAAAUUGGCCAGUUUGACUCGGCCACUGGGGUCUACAAGUAUAUUAGCUCCUUUUAUGUCUCUGGAUAUGAUAAAAGCUAGACAUAAGCGCGGUCAUGCUCCAAUAUUUGAUAAACUAUGGUUCUAAUAUUCCCAACAACAUGAAAUAGCUAUAAAAAUCUCACCUGUGGACAGUGUUUUUGGCCUGCAGGAAAGCAAGCCCAUACAAGAUUUGUUGAGUGUAAUUACGAAUGGCCAUUUCACCAAACUGUCCAAACUCCUGAAGAAGUUUAUAGAUGGAACCACCCGAAACAUACUCCAAGUAUAUAUAUAAUUUAUCAUCCACCUGUUCAUCAAAUAAAAAAUUGAGUUAACAAAACCUAAAUGACUGAUUGCUAAUCAACUAGAUUGGCAUGGUGCAGUCAUACACAUUACUAAACACUAAAUCUCAUAGAUUUUACAAAAGCAGAUCCACUUUGAAAUUGUUGCAACCUCUUAGCAGUCUCACAUUCUUUUAAUGCAUUAUGGUAAAAGAAAUACUUAUAAAAUAUAUUAAUCAGGAAUUACUUAUUUAUUUUCAAAAGGCAACAAUCUUAAAGCAGACCGCAUCAACCUCACACAAAAGUAAUGUCCUUGAGAUUGAUAAAGUGCCUACCAUUUCAAAUCCAUAAUAAUGUACUAUAUUAGGAUGUCGUAAG